rnacentral:rRNA from 1 species
CAGUAGCCGCGGUAAUACCGAGGGUGCAAGCGUUAAUCGGAAUUACUGGGCGUAAAGCGCGCGUAGGUGGUUUGUUAAGUUGGAUGUGAAAUCCCCGGGCUCAACCUGGGAACUGCAUCCAAAACUGGCAAGCUAGAGUAUGGUAGAGGGUGGUGGAAUUUCCUGUGUAGCGGUGAAAUGCGUAGAUAUAGGAAGGAACACCAGUGGCGAAGGCGACCACCUGGACUGAUACUGACACUGAGGUGCGAAAGCGUGGGGAGCAAACAGGAUUAGAUACCCCAGUAGUCCCUGUCUCUUAUAA